rnacentral:tRNA from 1 species
GGGUUAGUGGCUUGGUUAGCUCAGAAGCCUUAAAACAGCAUCUGCGGUGGUUCAAUUCCAUCUCUACCCACCA